rnacentral:tRNA from 2 species
GGAUGGGUUCCCGAGUGGCCAAAGGGAGCGGGCUGUAAACCCGCCGCGUCACCGCUUCGUAGGUUCGAAUCCUACCCCAUCCA